GCGUCCGUAGCUCAGUUGGUUAGAGCACCACCUUGACAUGGUGGGGGUCGGUGGUUCGAGUCCACUCGGACGCCCCA
rnacentral:tRNA from 1 species